rnacentral:rRNA from 1 species
AUUGAACGCUGGCGGCAUGCUUUACACAUGCAAGUCGAACGGUAACAGGUUAAGCUGACGAGUGGCGAACGGGUGAGUAAUGCAUCGGAACGUGCCCGGUCGUGGGGGAUAACGCAGCGAAAGCUGCGCUAAUACCGCAUACGAUCUGAGGAUGAAAGCGGGGGACCGUAAGGCCUCGCGCGAUCGGAGCGGCCGAUGUCAGAUUAGGUAGUUGGUGGGGUAAAGGCCCACCAAGCCGACGAUCUGUAGCUGGUCUGAGAGGACGACCAGCCACACUGGGACUGAGACACGGCCCAGACUCCUACGGGAGGCAGCAGUGGGGAAUUUUGGACAAUGGGCGAAAGCCUGAUCCAGCAAUGCCGCGUGCAGGAAGAAGGCCUUCGGGUUGUAAACUGCUUUUGUACGGAGCGAAAAGGUCCUUUCUAAUACAAGGGGCUCAUGACGGUACCGUAAGAAUAAGCACCGGCUAACUACGUGCCAGCCGCCGCCAUAAUAC